rnacentral:rRNA from 1 species
CCUACGGGUGGCUGCAGUGGGGAAUAUUGGACAAUGGGCGAAAGCCUGAUCCAGCCAUGCCGCGUGUGUGAAGAAGGCCUUCGGGUUGUAAAGCACUUUCAGUGGGGAAGAAAGCCUUGGGGCUAAUACCCUCGAGGAAGGACAUCACCCACAGAAGAAGCACCGGCUAACUCCGUGCCAGCAGCCGCGGUAAUACGGAGGGUGCGAGCGUUAAUCGGAAUUACUGGGCGGAAAGCGCGCGUAGGCGGUCUGAUAAGCCGGUUGUGAAAGCCCCGGGCUCAACCUGGGAACGGCAUCCGGAACUGUCAGGCUAGAGUGCAGGAGAGGAAGGUAGAAUUCCCGGUGUAGCGGUGAAAUGCGUAGAGAUCGGGAGGAAUACCAGUGGCGAAGGCGGCCUUCUGGACUGACACUGACGCUGAGGUGCGAAAGCGUGGGUAGCAAACAGGAUUAGAUACCCGUGUAGUC